GAACGCUGGCGGCGUGGUUAGACAUGCAAGUCGAACGAGAAGCUCCCUUCGGGGAGUGGAGAGUGGCGCACGGGUGAGUAACACGUGAGCAACCUGCCGGGAAGCCCGGGAUAGCCCUCCGAAAGGAGGAUUAAUACCGGAUGUGGCCACCCUGCGAUUGCAGGGGAAGCUAAAGGAUUUAUUCACUUCCCGAGGGGCUCGCGGCCCAUCAGCUUGUUGGUGAGGGUAACGGCCCACCAAGGCGACAACGGGUAGCUGGUCUGAGAGGAUGGUCAGCCACACUGGAACUGAGACACGGUCCAGACACCUACGGGUGGCAGCAGUCGAGAAUCAUUCGCAAUGGGGGAAACCCUGACGAUGCGACGCCGCGUGGAGGAUGAAGGCCUUAGGGUUGUAAACUCCUGUCAAGAGGGAAUAAGCAAGUGAAGGUACCUCUAGAGGAAGGGGCGGCUAAUUCCGUGCCAGCAGCCGCGGUAACACGGAAGCCCCGAGCGUUGUUCGGAUUCAUUGGGCGUAAAGGGUGCGUAGGCGGCGCGGAAAGUCCGGCGUGAAAGGCAGGGGCUCAACCUCUGGACUGCGUUGGAUACUUCCGUGCUUGAGGACUGGAGGGGAGACUGGAAUUCACGGUGUAGCAGUGAAAUGCGUAGAUAUCGUGAGGAAGACCGGUGGCGAAGGCGAGUCUCUGGACAGAUCCUGACGCUGAGGCACGAAGGCUGGGGGAGCGAACAGGAUUAGAUACCCUGGUAGUCCCAGCAGUAAACGAUGUGAGCUUGAUGUGGGGGGAUUCGACCCCUUCCGUGUCGAAGCUAACGCGAUAAGCUCACCGCCUGAGGAGUACGGCCGCAAGGCUAAAACUCAAAGAAAUUGACGGGGACCCGCACAAGCGGUGGAGUAUGUGGCUUAAUUCGAUGCAACGCGAAGAACCUUACCUGGCCUUGACAUGCAUUGUGUCGUCGGUGAAAGCCGGCUAGUCCUGGAAACAGGACGCUUUGCACAGGUGCUGCAUGGCUGUCGUCAGCUCGUGUCGUGAGAUGUUGGGUUAAGUCCCGCAACGAGCGCAACCCUUGUGGUCAGUUACUAACCGGCUUAGCCGGAGGACUCUGGCCAGACUGCCCUGUCAAACGGGGAGGAAGGUGGGGACGACGUCAAGUCAGUAUGGC
rnacentral:rRNA from 1 species